rnacentral:lncRNA from 1 species
AUGGACCCAGCUGGGGAUGGCCUCGGUGGUGACCUGUGUGUGCAGGAGCCCUGCACGGGGCUGUGCCCGAGGAGCUGCACCCACCAAGGCUUUCCUGAGCUGCUGCUGCAUCGUCCUGGCUGUGCUCAGUGGUGUACACUCUGCUCAGUGGUGUACACUGUGCUCAGUGGUGUACACUGUGCUCAGCGAUUUACACUGUGCUCAGUGAUUUACACUGUGCUCAGUAACCUACACUGUGCUCAGUGAUGUAC